CCAGCACCCUUUAGCCCCCUUUAGCCUCUUGGAGGAGAGGAGGAGAAGGAGCCCGUAUCUGAGCACUUGGGCAUGGGCCACAUCUCCCAGAGCUGCAUUUCCUCAACUGUUCAAUGGUUCUGCAGUCUUGCUGAAUCCCCCCACCCCUUUGAGCCUCCGGCUCCUUGUCUAUAAAAUGAGAAUAGUACUACCCAGCAUGAAGGAGGGUGAGGAAGAGGAGGCCACAGCACGUGUGAGAACACCUGACACACCACGGAUGCCAGGUCACCUCCAGACAACCACGUGAGCUGGACAUCCUCCUUUCUGCUUUACAGAUGAGGAAACUGAGGUUGCAGAACAGCGGGGAGUCCCUGCAGGAACCACAUCAGCGACCACCUAAGACAACGAUUCUUUCAGAGGCUCUGCAAGGUUAGAAGGCCUUAUUCGCCUUAUAUCUGCUCUUUCUUCUGCAAGCACACAGCGGGAUUUUCCAGAGGCCACAGGGGAUCGAAUGCGGAAACAGACAUGAAAACCCAACUGUCUUCUCUUAAGUGAACCAUCAAAGAGACUUGCAAGAAACAUAAAGUGAUGCCAC
rnacentral:lncRNA from 1 species